rnacentral:rRNA from 1 species
CCUACGGGGGGCAGCAGUGAGGAAUAUUGGUCAAUGGCCGGAAGGCUGAACCAGCCAUGCCGCGUGAAGGUCAGUGCCCUAUGGGCGUUAAACUUCUUUUGUGCGGGAGCAAUAAUGGUCACGUGUGGCCAGACGAGAGUACCGUACGAAUAAGCAUCGGCUAACUCCGUGCCAGCAGCCGCGGUAAUACGGGGGAUGCAAGCGUUAUACGGAUUUAUUGGGUUUAAAGGGUGCCUAGGCUGGGAGGUAAGUCAGCGGUGAAAUGCCCCCGGUCAACGGGGUGAAGUGCCAUUGAUACUGGCUGGCUGGAGUACGGAUGCGGUGGGAGGAAUGUGUGGUGUAGCGGUGAAAUGCAUAGAUAUCACGCAGAACACCGAUUGCGAAGGCAUCUCACGAAUCCGCGAUUGACGCUGAUGCACGAAAGCGUGGGUAUCAAACAGGAUUAGAUACCCGAGUAGUC